GGAAUUUAUGUAUUCAUAAAAUAAAACAUGUAAAACAUAGCCCGAUGAAAGCUUUGCCUUGGCGCGUAUUGAAGCAGAACCGCUCAAAUGAGUUAGCACAAACUGAUGUUAACUGCAUAACUGUCAAACCCUUUUCACAAUUUCGCCCUUGCAGAGGGUAGCUGGUUGAGGAUUUAUGAAUUGAUUUGGAAAUGGCAAGCUUUCGAGCCACCCUCGCAGUGAAAUGUUCGCAAGCCAGAGAGACGCAACAGCCAGUCAAGGAAAUGAAAAAGAAUGGCCAAAUCCACAUUUGACAAAUUACCAGCACGCAGGUAAACAGCAGGUAAGGAGACAGGUGCGGCAGGUGAAUAGGACUGCGUAAUGGAUGCCAGCCCCAGCCAGGAGGUAAACACCGUGAAAAAUGGAGCCUAUGAAUGACAUAUACUCGCCUAUCGCGUCCAUCUAUUUUGAUGAACAUGUCUGUCAAUUAAUAAUAGAUGAUGGGCACAUUUAACGCCUUUACAAUAGACACGCCCACAGUCGAUAGUCUUGAAUUUUCGUUUUAUGUCUGCGCUGUGCGCGCUGAAUUUUUCCAAUUAUAUUAUUUUUAUGUGCAGGCGCCGUAAAGUGUGCCAUAAAAUAUGCAAUACAGCAUCGAGAAAAUAUGAAAUAAAUACGAAUACUGAGACUUCUCAAAGAAACUCGCAGAAAUUGCCUCUGAUUGGCUGAAAAGGUCAAUCGAGUGACUAGCUGCCUAUAGAUGCUCGAGUUCACUUGUGACCUUUCCGCGGGGCAUCAUCUGCGACUAUGAUUGGCAAAAUAGUGUAAACUCUACUUAAACGUCAUCUGAUGCGGCGAAGCUGAGAUGGUUGCCAAGGUCGACCUUGACUGAACUGACAAGGCUGCCCUAAGAUGAUUUCUUACUCUGAUGAGAUACAAUUCGAAAAAUCGGUUUAUCAUAAUUCAUAUACAUAAAUCUAUAGUCAAUGCUAUGAUACAAAGAGGGAAGAUUUGAGUCAUAUUGAAUAUAUAACAUCUAUAAUAUAAAAGUCCGCAAAAAUACAGAAAAUAUCUGUAUACUAUUAUAUAAAGACAAAGGAUUAUAGGCCUCUAUUUUCAUUGACGAUAAUAGACUAAUACAUAUCGUAUUGCAAGUCAAAGGGUAGACGUGUCGCAGUUGAGUAAGUAAUGUGUACCUCUUGAUGAGCAAAAUUUUUGAAAUCCACAAGCUUUCUCUAGAGAAUCGGGCACAGAGCAUGCCCAGUACAUUUGAGGUGAAAGAGAAAGAUA